GUGUAUGAGGUUGAUAAAUACUGGGACUCCUGCAGAUAGAUGGGAAGAAAUGAAAAAUACCUGUUUGUUACCUCUGGAACCAAGAUGAGGGGUAGCGACAGUAAUAAAAUUCAUCGCCACCAGACCAGAUAUUAUAACUAUCUUGAUUAUGUUGGGCAGCUCAUCCACCCUCUUAUCAGCAGAAAACUACCUUCAUUAUCUCGGCGGCUGAUUACAUAUCCUGUCAAGGAUUUUGGGUGCCUUGGUAGCAAUGCUUUCACACAGAUAAAACAUCAUUUCCAACUACAGUUAAAAAUUAAACAAAGUUUCCUCACAUGAUAUUAGUUACCACCCCUGUUCAAUUACACUAUCUCAAACACUAGACUGCAUUUACCACCCCUGUCUAGUCACCACAUGACAACAUUC